UCAUCCUGGCUAUUGACGGCUUUGGGACAGAGUCCAUGACUCAUGCUGAUGCGCAGGACAGGAUUAAAGCAGCAGCUCACCAGCUGUGUCUCAAAAUUGACAGGGGAGAAACUCACUUAUGGUCUCCACAAGUAUCUGAAGAUGGGAAAGCCCAUCCUUUCAAAAUCAACUUAGAAUCAGAACCACAGGAAUUCAAACCCAUUGGUACCGCGCACAACAGAAGGGCCCAGCCUUUUGUUGCAGCUGCAAACAUUGAUGACAAAAGACAGGUAGUGAGCGCUUCCUAUAACUCGCCAAUCGGGCUCUAUUCAACUAGCAAUAUACAAGAUGCGCUUCACGGACAGCUGCGGGGUCUCAUUCCUAGCUCGCCUCAAAAGUAAGUAUCCGACUCUGUUCUGGCCGCAGUGUACCUAACAGUGAUAGCAUGGUUUCUUUUCUUUUCAAAAGUCCAGCUCUUGCUGUUUUAUUUUCACUUUCCUGAAGGCACUAUCAGAUUUCUCUUUUAAAGACAAGCGUCUUAAACAUGUUUCUCAUUGUUGUGGGGUCCAAUCCGCCAGUGCCUGACCGUUUCGCGGACAGAUGGUUGGAAAGAAGACAUCGUCCUGGUCCCGUCAUCGCCUUUCUUAGUCAUGACAGUAGUUGGUGGUAAAUGAUCCUCCCUGUACAACUAUCGUCCGUUUAAUCUCAUCUGCAACAGUGUCCGCCUUCCACUGAGGGCCUUUUUAACGCUUUCUUUUCGCAGGACGGGAACUACUUUGAACACAA
rnacentral:sRNA from 1 species